rnacentral:tRNA from 1 species
AGCCUCGUAGUGUAAUGGUAACACACCGGAUUUUGAUUCCGUAUUUCUAGGUUCGAGUCCUAGCGAGGCUG